rnacentral:rRNA from 1 species
CGGGGAGGUAGUGACGAAAAAUAACGAUACGGGACUCAUCCGAGGCCCCGUAAUCGGAAUGAGUACACUUUAAAUCCUUUAACAAGGAUCAAUUGGAGGGCAAGUCUGGUGCCAGCAGCCGCGGUAAUUCCAGCUCCAAUAGCGUAUAUUAAAGUUGUUGCGGUUAAAAAGCUCGUAGUUGAAUCUGUGUGUCACAGUGUCGGUUCACCGCUCGCGGUGUCUAACUGGCAUUAUGUGAUACGUCCUACCGGUGGGCUUAGCYYCUUCGGGGGCGGUCCAACAGACAUCCCAUCGCGGUGCUCUUCACUGAGUGUCGAGGUGGGCCGGUACGUUUACUUUGAAUAAAUUAGAGUGCUUAAAGCAGGCUAUCUUCGCCUGAAUACUAUGUGCAUGGAAUAAUGGAAUAGGACCUCGGUUCUAUUUUGUUGGUUUCCGGAACCCCGAGGUAAUGAUUAAUAGGGACAGAUGGGGGCAUUCGUAUUGCGACGUUAGAGGUGAAAUUCUUGGAUCGUCGCAAGACGGACUAAAGCGAAAGCAUUUGCCAAAAAUGUUUUCAUUAAUCAAGAACGAAAGUUAGAGGUUCGAAGGCGAUCAGAUACCGCCCUAGUUCUAACCAUAAACGAUGCCAACCAGCGAUCCGCCGAUGUUCCUCCGAUGACUCGGCGGGCAGCUUCCGGGAAACCAAAGUUUUUGGGUUCCGGGGGAAGUAUGGUUGCAAAGCUGAAACUUAAAGGAAUUGACGGAAGGGCACCACCAGGAGUGGAGCCUGCGGCUUAAUUUGACUC